rnacentral:tRNA from 1 species
AAAAAGAUAAGCUAAUUAAGCUACCAGGUUCAUACCCUGCUUAUGAAAGUAAAACCUUUCUCUUUUUA